rnacentral:rRNA from 1 species
UACAGAGGGUGCAAGCGUUGUUCGGAAUUAUUGGGCGUAAAGGGCGCGUAGGCGGUGCGGUAAGUCUGUAGUGAAAUCUCUGGGCUCAACUCAGAGUCUGCUGCAGAAACUGCCGUGCUUGAGUGUGGGAGAGGUGAGUGGAAUUCCCGGUGUAGCGGUGAAAUGCGUAGAUAUGUGGAGGAACACCGAUGGCGAAGGCAGCCCCCUGGGUCAAGACUGACGCUCGAUGCACGAAAGCGUGGGGAGCAAACAGG